GAAACGGAGACCUCAUCAGGGUUCAACCACCACUCCUAACCCAUGGCACAACGAAAACAAUUAAAUUGGUCAACGAUCUCCGACGAUAACCUCUCCGGAUCCAACAAACGGUCUUCAAUCUCUGGGCAAGAAACCCGUUACUCCGUUUCGAUUCCUGUUGAUGUAAUCAUCAAUAUCUUGUCGAGACUCCCAUUGAAGUCUAUAGCUCAAUGUCGUUGCGUGUGUAAGCUCUGGUCUUCCAUAGCUCGCCGUCCAAAUUACAACCUGCUGUUCCCUAUCAAGUCUCCCGAUGAGACACCGAGGAUCCUAUUCGCCUUCAAAGUCGGAUCUAACUUGUUCUUCUACUCUUCGCCUCAACAUCAUCAAAACCCUGAUAACAAGAACAAUUCAGCCAUUGUAGCCACUCGUCACGACAUCAAUCUCGGCUCAGAUUUGCAACAGUUAUGUCGGCCUGUUCGGGGUCUGGUCUGUAGUCAACACAUUGGUAAGAAUUGCUCGUGGGCUGUGAUUUCUAAUCCCAUCACGGGAGAGAUUGUAACCACACCAAAACUGACCAUACAAGGUAUUCACUUGAAGGAGCGGGUAAGAGGCAAAGCAGACUACUGUUUUGGAUAUGAUCCAAUCGAUAAACAGUUCAAGGUGUUGCGUAUCACCAGGUUGUGUGGCAGCCCAGAACACAAAAUAUCUUUUUACGCAAAGUAUCAUGUCCUGACGUUAGGGACCGGAGCAUGGAGGAAGCUCCAAUGCAGCACUCUUCAUUACCCUCUAGAUGAAAACGGGAUUUGCGAGAACGGGAUUUGCAUCAAUGGUGUUUUGUUUUAUCCAGCCUUGGUUAAACAUAGAAAACAUAUGAUUGUUUGCUUUGAUGUUAGGUCUGAGAAGUUCAGCUUUGUCAGCGUUGAUUACGUUUUAGGAUUGCCCAUCCAUAGAUAUUCCGUUCUGAUAAACUGCAAUGGUAAAUUAGGUGUUAACUUUUGUGACGCUGCCUGUAAGCAUUUUGAGUUGUGGGUAUUGGAGGAUGCCACUAAACAUACAUGGUCGAAGCGUAUCUACAUAUCGCCUCAUGCGUCGCUGAACUGGGACAACUAUGUGCGCCCUGCUGGAAUGAUUGGUAGCGGAGAAAUUCUGUUAUACCGAAUGUAUACACACAAUCCUUUCAACAUCUUUUACUACAAUCUCGAGAAGAAGAUUAUCAGAAGAGUAACAUUUGAGGUCCCAGUAUUGGAAAAGUUUGAUCAUUUUGGAGCUUUCACAUUUGCAAACUAUGUAGAGGAUGUGAAGCUUAUAUGAGAGGUUGGUUGUAAUUUGAUGGCUUGAUUACUCUUCAGCGUGAAGUUGCCUAACACUGGAAUAUCACAGAUUAAUUAAUAUAGCAGUCCUGUUUCCCUAACUCGCAUGGGCAUAAAGAAUGAUUCGAGAAUCACAAAAGCAUAAGAAUCAAGAUCAGAGAUCUUUGCUGGGAGGAUAUUUAGGCAUGAAGCUUUGACAAAGCGCAACUAACGAGUGUGGUUGAAGAAUAAGAUCGGGUUUACUUUAACUGAACGAGCCUCUUACGUUUGGUCACAAUCUAGGGGUUAGUCCACCGCCAUGACGAACCAAAAGCAGCAGGUCGCCCACAGUGAUGUAAUUGAACACUUUGGUCUUAUCCAAGUUCAUCUUGUAAUUUCUGAAGUGCUUUGUAUCAGUUCGUGGAGUAUUACACAAGUUAGUACAGACUUGUGUUAAGAAGAUGGGAUGUGUUAGAUUUUAUGUUCUGUGAGGUACAAAUUUUAUUUUAUCUUAGAA